rnacentral:rRNA from 1 species
GGCCAGCAGCCGCGGUAAUACAGAGACUGCAAGCGUUAUUCGGAUUCACUGGGCGUAAAGGGUGCGCAGGCGGCCGUGUGUGUUAGGUGUGAAAGCCCGGGGCUUAACCUCGGAAUUGCGCCUAAAACUACACGGCUAGAGCAUUGGAGAGGGUAGCGGAAUUCACGGUGUAGCAGUGAAAUGCGUAGAUAUCGUGAGGAACACCAGAGGCGAAGGCGGCUACCUGGACAAUUGCUGACGCUCAGGCACGAAAGCGUGGGGAGCAAAAGGGAUUAGAUACCCCUGUAGUCCACGCCCUAAACGGUGCACACUAGGUCUUAGCGGAUUCGAUCCCGCUAGGGCCCAAGCUAACGCGUUAAGUGUGCCGCCUGAGGACUACGGUCGCAAGACUAAAACUUAAAGGAAUUGGCGGGGGAC